rnacentral:rRNA from 1 species
GACGAACGCUGGCGGCGUGCUUAACACAUGCAAGUCGAACGGAAAGGCCCUGCUUUUGUGGGGUGCUCGAGUGGCGAACGGGUGAGUAACACGUGAGUAACCUGCCCUUGACUUUGGGAUAACUUCAGGAAACUGGGGCUAAUACCGGAUAGGAGCUCCUGCUGCAUGGUGGGGGUUGGAAAGUUUCGGCGGUUGGGGAUGGACUCGCGGCUUAUGAGCUGGUUGGUGGGGUAGUGGCUUACCAAGGCUUUGAAGGGUAGCCGGCCUGAGAGGGUGACCGGCCACAUUGGGACUGAGAUACGGCCCAGACUCCUACGGGAGGCAGCAGUGGGGAAUAUUGCACAAUGGGCGGAAGCCUGAUGCAGCAACGCCGCGUGCGGGAUGACGGCCUUCGGGUUGUAAACCGCUUUCGCCUGUGACGAAGCGUGAGUGACGGUAAUAGGUAAAGAAGCACCGGCUAACUACGUG